rnacentral:lncRNA from 1 species
GCGAGGGAGGGCUGUGAGGACUGCCAGCACGCUGUCACCUCUCACUAGGAUUACAGGCCUGAGCCACCGAGUCCCGCCAACUUAUUCAGAAACUGAGCACCUGACCAUAAGGUACCAAGGAGCCAUGGAUUUUGAGGAACGUUCCAUGAAACAAGUGUUGUAUGAUCUACCUAGCCAUACAGUCUGAUGUUGCCAGCAGCAUUCCAUCAAGUGAAAGCAGUGUAUACGUAGGACCAGAAACAAGCAAGAUACAACUCUGAGCUCUCAUUAUUUGGUGGUCUGAGAAAGCAAGAGAAGAAUACUUCUACCAGGGAAUACAACAGCAAUUCUAUUGAAGUUGAAAUUCAAUGGUCACUUCAGGUUCUUCUUAACCACCAAUACAACUGGUGAGGACACAGCAAAAAGGUACCACCUAUGAAACAG